rnacentral:miRNA from 1 species
UGAACGACGACGUACUGACAGC